GCCGGGCGUGGUGGCGCACCCCUGUAAUCCCAACUACUCGGGAGGCAGAGGCAGGAGAAUCGCUUGAACCCGGGAGGUGGAGGCUGCAGUGAGCCAAGAUCACGCCACUGCACUCCAGCCUGGGCUACAGAGCGAGACUCCGUCUCAA
ensembl:misc_RNA Metazoa_SRP Metazoan signal recognition particle RNA